rnacentral:rRNA from 1 species
UACGUAGGGUGCGAGCGUUGUCCGGAAUUAUUGGGCGUAAAGAGCUCGUAGGCGGUGUGUCGCGUCGGCCGUGAAAACCUGGGGCUCAACUCUGGGCGUGCGGUCGAUACGGGCAUCACUUGAGUUCGGCAGGGGAGACUGGAAUUCCUGGUGUAGCGGUGAAAUGCGCAGAUAUCAGGAGGAACACCGGUGGCGAAGGCGGGUCUCUGGGCCGAUACUGACGCUGAGGCGCGAAAGCGUGGGGAGCGAACCGG